UACGGGGGGGGCAAGCGUUGUUCGGAAUUACUGGGCGUAAAGGGCUCGUAGGCGGCCAACUAAGUCGGAUGUGAAAUCCCCAGGCUUAACCUGGGAAUUGCAUCCGAUACUGGAUGGCUUGAAUCCGGGAGAGGGAUGCGGAAUUCCAGGUGUAGCGGUGAAAUGCGUAGAUAUCUGGAGGAACACCGGUGGCGAAGGCGGCAUCUUGGACCGGCAUUGACGCUGAGGAGCGAAAGCCAGGGGAGCAAACGGG
rnacentral:rRNA from 1 species